AUGGUCAAAUCACGUUGAAAACACCGGUUCUCGUUCGAUCAUCAUUGUUAAGCAUCGUAGAGCCAGGUCAGUACUUAGAUGGGGGACCGCUUGGGAACUUUUACUACUGUAA